CCUCAGACGUCAGUAGAAGCCGAGCUGACGGGAGGGUGAGGAGGGCUAGAUGAAAAGAUGCUGGUGGCAGGAAAGAGGACUGUCACCUGAAUUCCAAACCUCCAAUUGGCUCGGCAUCUCCCAGAAUAUCGGAGGACUGAAGCCGGCAGUGAGAGAAGACCUUUGCUCCGGCUCGUGCGGCAAGGGAUGGAUAAAGGCAAAACCCUCUGAGGCCCUGAACCAAUGCUCCGCACUGUAAGCUAAGUCUUUGUGGCCAGGAAAUCAGAGCACCCCUAAAUUUGAGGAUCCAAGGCCUCCAGUCAAGCCACCUCUAACGUCAUUCUGGACGCUGAACAUCCCAAGG